CACCAACCCAAUACCUCCUCUAAAGUCCAAACAAAGGUAGGAAUGGCAGCUAACAGUAACAGGGUUGGUGUUCUGUUUGUGCUUCUUGUGUGUGGGGUGUUUUUGUUGGGGGAGAAGCCGGAGUUGGCGAAUGCUAAAUUUUGCCCUGAAGAUUGCAGAAAAGCAGACUACAUGAAAUGCAAGUCAUCCGGUGAGAAGCGGCUCAGUCCGGCAUGCAACUGUUGCUUUGCUGGGAAGGGUUGCACCAUUUACUACUGUGAUGGAACCUCACAUAUCUGCUAAGAACAACAUUGCACCCUUCUUAUAUAUAUAUAUACAUAUAUAUAUGCAUGUUUGAAAAUAAUAAUGAGAUUACAAUCUCUUCUUUGUUUUUAUAUUUUUUGUAUUUUGGAGUUUGGACUUUGAUCAAUAACUAGCUUUCAUUAACUUUGAUCCCUAUGUCAUGUAAUCUACACUUUAUAAUUUAUCAUA